AUUGAACGCUGGCGGCAUGCCUUACACAUGCAAGUCGAACGGUAACAGGUCUUCGGAUGCUGACGAGUGGCGAACGGGUGAGUAAUACAUCGGAACGUGACCGAGAGUGGGGGAUAACGAAGCGAAAGCUUUGCUAAUACCGCAUACGAUCUCAGGAUGAAAGCAGGGGACCGCAAGGCCUUGCGCUCACGGAGCGGCCGAUGGCGGAUUAGGUAGUUGGUGGGAUAAAAGCUUACCAAGCCGACGAUCUGUAGCUGGUCUGAGAGGACGACCAGCCACACUGGGACUGAGACACGGCCCAGACUCCUACGGGAGGCAGCAGUGGGGAAUUUUGGACAACGGGCGCAAGCCUGAUCCAGCCAUGUCGCGUGCAGGAUGAAGGCCUUCGGGUUGUAAACUGCUUUUGUACGGAACGAAAAGACUCCUUCUAAUAAAGGGGGUCCAUGACGGCACCGUAAGAAUAAGCACCGGCUAACUACGUGCCAGCCGCCGCCGUAACAC
rnacentral:rRNA from 1 species